ACUACCCAUUAAGGAAUUAAUAAUGACAUUGUAUCUUGCUCAUGUAGGGAAUUCAUACCACAGUUACUGAUGUCCCAUGACAUUUUAAGAAAAGAAAUUAAUUAACCAGAACGAUUUUAUUCCACGCCUAGUCGAGAUAAGCCAUGUUGAGCGAGAGGAAAAAGUUUCUGACGAUGAGAAAAAGUAACAUGACUGGGUAAAAGCUUCUAGUAGCGGACGAAUGACAAAUAAAACUUCAGAAGCAAGAAAAAAAUUAUGUCACACUGAAGGAUGUAUGGUUUACCAGCAUUUUAUGUAAAGGUGGAAAAAGCAAUUGUGGGAGCCCAGAAGUGGUUCGAAUCACGACCUGGUUUGCUAUUGGUUUUCCGUUCAUGGAUGCUUCACUUUUUUAAAGCAUUUUAAGAUAAAAAUAUGAAACAAAUGGAAUAUCCCGAUCAUAUGGUCAAUACGUGUAUCUGCAAGUAUAAUAUGUUACGAUUAAAAUUUUAUAUCAAGAAUUGUGGGUACAAGAAACUAGAUGUCAACCAGUGAGGAAAUUUUUGCAAGCGUUACAUUACCACGGAAUUUUUGAAUUCAAGAUCAAUUAUUGGCGUAUUAGACGGCGACCAAUUUGUUAAGCAGUUUCAUAGUCUU